GACGUAGGGCGCGAGCGUUGUCCGGAUUUAUUGGGCGUAAAGAGCUCGUAGGCGGCUUGUCGCGUCGACCGUGAAAACUUGGGGCUCAACCCCAAGCCUGCGGUCGAUACGGGCAGGCUAGAGUUCGGUAGGGGAGACUGGAAUUCCUGGUGUAGCGGUGAAAUGCGCAGAUAUCAGGAGGAACACCGAUGGCGAAGGCAGAUCUCUGGGCCGUAACUGACGCUGAGGAGCGAAAGCGUGGGUAGCAAACGGG
rnacentral:rRNA from 1 species